rnacentral:RNase_P_RNA from 2 species
GAAGCUGGCUAGACAGUCGCCGCGUCCGCAAGGGCGGGGAGGACAACCCGCUCGCGUAAGCGAGCGGGUUGCGGUGUAGGCUAAUUUGCGCAAGCAAGUUAUGCCGAAGCCAAAGUGCGGGGGAACCCGGACUUUUCUCUCCGUCUGAGGACGGGGAGGAAAGUCCGGGCUCCGCAGAGCAGGAUGCCGGUUAAUGGCCGGACGCCGUGAGGCGAUGGAAAGUGCCACAGAAAAUAUACCGCCGAUGGCUCGGUACUGCUGUCCGCAAGGGGGGCGGCUGGGUACAGGUAAGGUUGAAAUGGCGAGGUAAGAGCUCACCGCGCUGGUGGCAACAUCAGUGGCAGGGCAAACCCCAUCCGGAGCAAGAUCAAAUAGGCUGACUAUGGCGUGGCUCGCGCCGUCAGCGGGUAGAUUGCUUGAGCGUCAGGUAACGAAACGCCUAGAGGAAUGACUGUCCACGACAGAACCCGGCUUAUCGGCCAGCUUCACCU